AAGACGCUCAACAUAGAACUAUCUGUUGCAACUGGAAGGAAGGGAGCACUGCGAUAUGAUUUCAGUAUGGACUGUACCUAUAACAAAAGUAGGAAAUCAGAAUCAACCAAACAGCAAGAGUGCCCUUGUUUUUAAUGAAUUGACAUGCAUAACUCAAUGCAUUGGUGAAAAUGAAAUGAAUAUGAGGAGGAACUAGAGGUGACCCACUGUCUAAGAGACGUCUAUUUGCAGGAUUAAGCUUACUGUGGUUGAUUUGAAAGGUUCUUCUUGAAAGAGAACUUUAUAGAACUCCUCUCCCAAAUGAUCAGCAGCAGUGGGAGCAUCUUUCCCCAUCCCUCUAUCAGCAGCCAUUCCACCAGCCACCGCUGCCCCAACUGCAGCAACAGUUAUUCCAGCAACAGCAGCAGGCCCUGUUGCUCCCAAUGCUAGUGCUCCAAGUGCUCCAACCGCCCCUGCACUUACUCCAGCAGCGGUAGCAGUACUGGCAGAAAAAGCAACUGCAGCAAGCUCCGCACUCUCUAGCACCCAAAGUAUGAUCGCUGAGUAAUCUAUGAUUCCUAGGUACCUCUCUCUCCAAUCCAAACUGGUUCCUGCAUCUGGGUUCCUCACAGGGGCAGACAAAAUGUUGCAGUGAGAUAGAGUUUUAACUGCCUCUGCAAUUAUUGCAUCACCCCGAAUUUCAACCACUACAAAAGGAAAUUUCGUAAGAAGAUGUGGUCAGUGAUUCAGGGAUGCCUCAUUUAAACCGUUCUCCAAGCUAAAUGAUGAGAUUGUUUGAACUUUGAUAUUAAAAUUCUCACCUUUGCCCCCAAGUACUUCAGGGAAAGAUGAAACUGGAAUCCUUGCAAAUGCAGCUGUUAGAGACUCCUGCAAGGAUCGUGGUAGUUUUUUCCUCGACUGGAUGUUCUCGAAAUAAGCAUCACAACUUAAAAGUUGUGGACUCUCCUUAGCUUCCUGUGCUUGUGCCAUAUCCUCAGGUAUACCUGUAUCUUUGUAUGGCAUAAAAUGGAAUCAACUGGAGACUGACAGAACACUAUUCCAAAUACACAUAGAGCUAAACAAGAGCAACCACCAUCAGAGUUACCAUCCCAAAAUGGAUCAAAGAAACUCUAGGUUUAUGGGUUCUGUUGCUUUCCCAGCUUUCAAGGGGAUCAAAGUCUAUCUAAAGACGAUUGGUUUUCCAGGUGCAAAGCUUUGGAAAGUAAAGGUAUUUUAUUGUGUUUAUUUUGAUUUAUAUGUUUGGUGAAUUUAGAGCUCUCACAUUUUGCAGUGGCAAAUCAAUUUUGUUCCUUAUGGUGCAUUA